GUCACCACGAGCGCGAGAAGUCGAAGGUAGGAGCAGAAAGCGGUGUUAGUGUUAGUUCUGGCCCGUUUGGACCCAAACUAAAGUGUAUCAGUAUGAAGCAGGCGGUGACGGCGCACUGAUUCACUCUCGGAGCUCGGUUCACUAAUGACCGAAUCACCGAGGAACCGACCAAAGAUAACUCACACCCGCACGAAGAAGAACAAGAGGAGGAGAAGAUGAGCUGGAGUGGGGCAAAGAGAACUGCAUUCAGAUCAAACGGAUACAAGAGAGGUGGCCGAGUUGUUUGAGGAUCUAAAGAAUUGAGUGUCACAAUUCAACAUGCACAUCAGCGAAACUUUUCCCUCUGACUACACCAGCACGCACGCACAGAAAUUCAUAGUGCAGGUGGUGAUUGCAGGCGCAUUUUAUCCGAACUGCUUCCUCCAGGGAGCUGUGGACGAGGAGCUCGCCUCCAAGGAACUCUAUGGAAACGACCCCAGGACCACCAUAGUGGUGUGUAAUCUCCCUCCAUUUGCAUUCCUCUACUAUAAACAGCUCCAGUCUCUCUUCAGACACUGUGGUUAAAUCAAAUCCAUCUCCUUUGACAGCUCCAGGGCCUAUGUAGAGUUCUACCGCUCGUCAAUGAGAGGUUCUGGCGUUCUCCCAGAGGUCUCUCUGUCUCUCCUCCUCACGCAGCAGAGACUUCCUCUCCAUGUCAACGUUUAACCUGCUGGAGAGGUGGAGACUUGGGCAGGGGGGUAGUGUAUCUCACACCUCAGAUAUACACGGGUGAAUGUGGAUUUUCAGAAUCAGUCAGUGAGCCCUGUCGGGGUUCUGAGCAGCUCCAUUGAGUUGGAGAAUCUUCCGUCUAACCCUGUCUUUAUCGUCAAUAUCACUGAGGUGUCUGUUCCGCCUCUUUCACUUUCAGUGCACAAAUAAAAAAGAAGCAGUGUGUGUGUGCGUGCGUGUGUGUGCGUGCGUGUGUGUGCGUGCGUGUGUGUGUGUGUGUGUGUGUGUGUGUGCACUAACAGGAGGUCCAGGUGCAGCCUUUGGAUAUUGAUGAAGAUUUACUGCCCCUGCAAGACCUUCCUCAACUGCGUAGUCUGGAGCAAAGGAUGCAACAGAGCCCAGAUUACAAGCAAAAUCUGGUAAACUGGUUGGCGCUUAUUGACGGGGUGUAUGUGCGUGACUGCACCUGGCGCAUAUUGAAGAGGGUGAUUGCUAACUCCCUGGAAAAGAAUGUCAAUUGGAGGGGAGUCAAUGGAAAGACUUCACUGUCCGCUCUCCAACUCGGAGAGGUCGUGAUUGGUUGUUUCGUCCUGAUGGCCUGCACCCCAGCAGCCACGGAGCGGAACUGCUGUCUGACAACAUCUCCAAGACGCUACACUCCAAGUGACUGUCUACCCUGUUUACAGAGUCCACACAAGUCAUGCUUUAAGUACCUGGACAUGCCCGGGUUGAGGCUGGCCACCAGUGCACCGAUGGAUCUCUUUCCUGCGGCACUGUCGUGGUAGCAGUCGAUACCAACAUCAUCAGUUACUUGAAAAACUCCCAGUGCUUGAAGAACAGAACCGUACCGGGAUC